GACGAACGCUGGCGGCGUGCUUAACACAUGCAAGUCGAACGCUGAAGCUCAGCUUUUGUUGGGUGGAUGAGUGGCGAACGGGUGAGUAACACGUGAGUAACCUGCCUCCUUCUUUGGGAUAACGCCCGGAAACGGGUGCUAAUACUGGAUAUUCACUUGUCUUCGCAUGGGGGUUGGUGGAAAGGGUUUUUCUGGUGGGGGAUGGGCUCGCGGCCUAUCAGCUUGUUGGUGGGGUGAUGGCCUACCAAGGCUUUGACGGGUAGCCGGCCUGAGAGGGUGACCGGGCACAUUGGGACUGAGAUACGGCCCAGACUCCUACGGGAGGCAGCAGUGGGGAAUAUUGCACAAUGGGCGCAAGCCUGAUGCAGCGACGCCGCGUGAGGGAUGGAGGCCUUCGGGUUGUGAACCUCUUUCGCUCAUGGUCAAGCCGCAACAAUGGUUGUGGUGAGGGUAGUGGGUAAAGAAGCGCCGGCUAACUACGUG
rnacentral:rRNA from 1 species